rfam:Schistosoma haematobium scaffold574_21, whole genome shotgun sequence.
AUAUAGCUGAUGAGUCCUAAAACAGGACGAAACUUGUGUCCUACAU